CCCUUAGAUGUUCUGGGCCGCACGCGCGCUACACUGACGAUGGCAACGAGUUUUUCCUUCGCCGAAAGGUGUGGGUAAUCUUUUGAAACAUCGUCGUGCUGGGGAUAGAUCAUUGCAAUUUUUGAUCUUGAACUAGGAAUUCCUAGUAAGCGCGAGUCAUCAGCUCGCGUUGAUUACGUCCCUGCCCUUUGUACACACCGCCCGUCGCUACUACCGAUUGAAUGGUUUAGUGAGGACUCCUGAUUGGCGCCGCCGCCCCGGCAACGGAGCAGCGGACUGCCGAAAAGUUGUUCAAACUUGAUCAUUUAGAGGAAGUAAAAGUCGUAACA
rnacentral:rRNA from 1 species